GACGAACGCUGGCGGCGUGCUUAACACAUGCAAGUCGAACGCUGAAGCUCAGCUUUUGUUGGGUGGAUGAGUGGCGAACGGGUGAGUAACACGUGAGUAACCUGCCACCUUCUUUGGGAUAACGCCCGGAAACGGGUGCUAAUACUGGAUAUUCACUGGUCUUCGCAUGGGGGUUGGUGGAAAGGGUUUUUCUGGUGGGGGAUGGGCUCGCGGCCUAUCAGCUUGUUGGUGGGGUGAUGGCCUACCAAGGCUUUGACGGGUAGCCGGCCUGAGAGGGCGACCGGUCACAUUGGGACUGAGAUACGGCCCAGACUCCUACGGGAGGCAGCAGUGGGGAAUAUUGCACAAUGGGCGCAAGCCUGAUGCAGCGACGCCGCGUGAGGGAUGGAGGCCUUCGGGUUGUGAACCUCUUUCGCUCAUGGUCAAGCCGCAACAAUGGUUGUGGUGAGGGUAGUGGGUAAAGAAGCGCCGGCUAACUACGUG
rnacentral:rRNA from 1 species